AGUCGAGGGGUAGCAGGAAAAGCUUGCUUUUUUGCUGACGACCGGCGAACGGGUGCGUAACGCGUAUGCAACUUACCCUUAACAAAAGGAUAGCCCCGAGAAAUCGGGAUUAAUAUUCCAUAGUACUGCGAAAACGCAUGUUUUGACAUUUAAAGCUCCGGCGGAUAGAGAUGAGCAUGCGUCCCGUUAGUUUGUUGGUGAGGUAAUAGCGCACCAAGGCUACGAUGUCUAGGGGGCCUGAGAGGGUUGUCCCCCACACUGGUACUGAGACACGGACCAGACUCCUACGGGAGGCAGCAGUGAGGAAUAUUGGUCAAUGGACGAAAGUCUGAACCAGCCAUGCCGCGUGCAGGAUGACUGCCCUAUGGGUUGUAAACUGCUUUUAUAUAGGAAGAAACCUCUCGACGUGUCGAGAGCUGACGGUACUAUAAGAAUAAGGACCGGCUAACUCCGUGCCAGCAGCCGCGGUAAUACGGAGGGUCCAAGCGUUAUCCGGAUUUAUUGGGUUUAAAGGGUACGUAGGCGGAGUUUUAAGUCAGUAGUGAAAUCCCAUCGCUCAACGAUGGAACUGCUAUUGAUACUGAUACUCUUGAAUAUAGUUGAAGUGGGCGGAAUACGACAUGUAGCGGUGAAAUGCAUAGAUAUGUCGUGGAACACCAAUCGCGAAGGCAGCUCACUAAGCUAUUAUUGACGCUAAUGUACGAAAGCGUGGGUAGCGAACAGGAUUAGAUACCCUGGUAGUCCACGCCGUAAACGAUGAUUACUCGGUGGGCGAUACACAGUCAGUGGCUGAGCGAAAGCAUUAAGUGACCCACCUGGGGAGUACGUUCGCAAGAAUGAAACUCAAAGGAAUUGACGGGGGCCCGCACAAGCGGUGGAGCAUGUGGUUUAAUUCGAUGAUACGCGAGGAACCUUACCAGGGCUUAAAUGUAAAACGACAGAAUUGGAAACAAUUCUUUCUUCGGACGGAUUACAAGGUGCUGCAUGGUUGUCGUCAGCUCGUGCUGUGAAGUGUCGGGUUAAGUCCCAUAACGAGCGCAACCCCUAUCUUUAGUUGCCAGCGAGUAAUGCCGGGGACUCUGGAGAAACUGCCACCGUAAGGUGAGAGGAAGGUGGGGAUGACGUCAAAUCAUCACGGCCCUUACGUCCUGGGCUACACACGUGCUACAAUGGCGGGGACAGAGAGUUGCAAACCGGCGACGGUGAGCUAAUCUUCAAACCCCAUCUCACUUCGGAUCUUCGUUCGCAAUCUGCAACUCGACUAAGGAAAAUCGCUAGUAAUCGCGCGUAUCAGCCAUGGCGCGGUGAAUACGUUCCCGGGCCUUGUACACACCGCCCGUCAAGCCAUGGAAGCUGGGAGUGCCUGAAGUCGGUGACCGAAA
rnacentral:rRNA from 1 species